UACAGAGGUGGCAAGCGUUGUUCGGAAUUACUGGGCGUAAAGGGCGCGUAGGCGGUCUUGUAAGUCUCGUGUGAAAUCCCUCGGCUUAACUGAGGAACUGCACGGGAUACUGCAUGACUUGAGAUCGGGGAGAGGGAAGCGGAAUUCCGGGUGUAGCGGUGAAAUGCGUAGAUAUCCGGAGGAACACCGGUGGCGAAGGCGGCUUCCUGGACCGACACUGACGCUGAGGCGCGAAAGCUAGGGGAGCAAACGGG
rnacentral:rRNA from 1 species